UGGGGAAUUUUGGACAAUGGGCGAAAGCCUGAUCCAGCAAUGCCGCGUGUGUGAAGAAGGCCUUCGGGUUGUAAAGCACUUUUGUCCGGAAAGAAAUCCUUGGCUCUAAUACAGUCGGGGGAUGACGGUACCGGAAGAAUAAGCACCGGCUAACUACGUGCCAGCAGCCGCGGUAAUACGUAGGGUGCAAGCGUUAAUCGGAAUUACUGGGCGUAAAGCGUGCGCAGGCGGUUUGCUAAGACCGAUGUGAAAUCCCCGGGCUCAACCUGGGAACUGCAUUGGUGACUGGCAGGCUAGAGUAUGGCAGAGGGGGGUAGAAUUCCACGUGUAGCAGUGAAAUGCGUAGAGAUGUGGAGGAAUACCGAUGGCGAAGGCAGCCCCCUGGGCCAAUACUGACGCUCAUGCACGAAAGCGUGGGGAGCAAACAGGAUUAGAUACCCUGGUAGUCCACGCCCUAAACGAUGUCAACUAGUUGUUGGGGACUCAUUUCCUUAGUAACGUAGCUAACGCGUGAAGUUGACCGCCUGGGGAGUACGGUCGCAAGAUUAAAACUUAAAGGAAUUGACGGGGUCAUA
rnacentral:rRNA from 1 species